ensembl:snRNA U6 U6 spliceosomal RNA
GUGCUCAUUUCUGCAGCACAUAUACUAAAAUUUCAAAGGUUAAAGAGAUUAGCAUGGCCACCGGGCAAGGAUGACACACAAAUUCAUGAAGCAUUCCAUAUUGGA